rnacentral:tRNA from 1 species
GCCCGCGCGUAGCUCAGUCGGUAGAGCAUCAGACUUUUAAUCUGAGGGUCUAGGGUUCGAGUCCCUACGUGGGCU